UCUUAGUACCCGGAGGAAGAGAAAGAAAAUUCGAUUCCCUUAGUAGCGGCGAGCGAAACGGGAAGAGCCCAAACCAACAAGCUUGCUUGUUGGGGUUGUAGGACACUCUAUACGGAGUUACAAAGGACGACAUUAGACGAAUCAUCUGGAAAGAUGAAUCAAAGAAGGUAAUAAUCCUGUAGUCGAAAAUGUUGUCUCUCUUGAGUGGAUCCUGAGUACGACGGAGCACGUGAAAUUCCGUCGGAA
rnacentral:rRNA from 1 species